GACAAAUUGAAAGCCAGUGAGAGAGCGAACAGGGAAUGUCGUCAGAAUGUCAUAGCUGCAGUCUAGGCCAGAGAUGGGCAAGGUCUGGACUAGGUCAGGGGCAGUGCAGGUGAGAAGGACAGAAGAGAAGAGCGUGGGAGAGGUGAGUGGGCUGUGCCGUAUGCAGUAAUGAGAUGGUUAAAUGCAUGGCCUGGGAACCAGAGUGGGUGGGGGACAUUCAACACUGCAGGGAAUAUAAUAAGGCAAGUAAACCUGGGGCCAGGUCAGAGAGAGGGGAGAGGGAGAGUCUAAGUUCUGGUGUGGCACACUCCGGGGCCAGGUGCUGUGCAACAGACACACAGUGACAGCCAGCAGGCAGUCGGGUACGCAAUGCUCACUGCAGAUUCACACUUGAGAGACAAGUUGAUGAGCAAAAUCACGGCCCUGGAUGAAAUGGCACACAGGUGUCUGGGUGAGAUGAGAAUAGGCCACAUGGGAAGCUGGACCCAAGUUGGGUUCUCAGAAAACAUAUGUGGAGAGAGUUUAGAUCGAGUAUUGAAUGUGUUUACGAGGGAUUACCCUUGGCAGGGAGGGAGAGAAAGCAGGAUUGGACAGAAGGAGAAGAAAAGUUGUAACUCAGACCCCAAAGCCUCUGUUGACUGCAAUGGAUCUUCAGAGUUGAAAUAGCUGUCAGAGUUGACCAUAUUGGGCCCAAGUGGCAGCUCUUAUUUCCUUGCCUCCAUCAGAGAGCUCUGUAGGAAGGUGCCUUGGGAAAGACAGAUCUCAAUAGCUCUAGUAAAUCCAUACAGCGGAUGACAUUUAAAGGCCCUGUGCUCAUCACUGAGCUAUUUCUCCCUGGAAGGGGGUCUGCCCUGCUUGGGCCACAGUUGCUAUUAUGUCCAUUUACUAUCACAGUGGGGAAGGGAGUACCCAAUGGCACACAAGGAGAUUAUUUGUGUGCUAACUGGGGUGCAAGGAAUGGAUGCCAAGCAUUUUCUAACUGUCUCCAGUGGGGGCCAACAGUUCUAUCAUCUCUUGGUGAUCAGAGUGGAUUUCUCCACUAAGAUGGUGACUCUUCCCAAGGAGUCCAAAGUGCCCAGCUGCAGCCAUAGCUUAUUGUUUACUUGGACUCUUGCUGCAUUCUCUGGUGGAAAUGGAUCCCUAAUCCUGUAAUCCUGUAAGCACAGGUUUGGGAAGCACAAUCCCCGAAAUGGGCCAUUGACAGUGAUAGGGUGUGGGUUGCUUCUGUUUCCACCCUUGGGUCUGAUCCAUGAGGUCUUCCUACUGGUAGCGUAGCCCCAUUUAAAGCCCUGUGUAUUCACAUGGACAGACUGAUCUUUGACAAAAGGGGCACCUCUCUGUGAUGGUACAUACCUGUAAUUCCCACACCUCAGGAGGCUCAGGCAGAAGCAUUGCAAAUUCAAAGUUAGCCUCAGCAACCUAGUGAGGCCCUAAGCAACUUAGCAAGACCCUGUCUCAAAAUUAAAAAUGAGGCACAGUUAAGAAUGGGGUUCAAUGAAGAUAAGGGUUUGAAAUGAUAGAUGAGAAAUUGGGGAAAUCAAACUUGAUUACCUUUAUUUUUGUUGUAGAAGCAGAACCAGGGUCACCUAAUGAACUUGGGCUUGGGUAGGGUCAGGACUUAGAAAAAAGAGUCCUCAAUAAUUCCCAAACACAGUUUAGGGAAUGUGGGUCUGAGUCUUUAGGGCUGUUGAUGUUGGGGACACGACUGGCUACGACCCACUGUUGCUGAAUCAUGUGGCUUCCUUGGGUGCAGAAGAGGGAGGAGCAUGUUUUGGCCUGUGCUGGCUAGAUGCUGGGAAGGACACUGAGACAAUAGGGUGCUAUUGUCUUAGUUUCCCAUAGUUAUUUAAGGUGUGUUUAGAGAUGAACUCUCUAUUUAAAAAAAAAAUGUGUUUUAUUUUUCCUAUGGAGAGAAAGCAUCAGAAGGUAUGAAAGGGGACUUGAGGUGUGUGUAGGGGGGUCUGUUCCUUUAGAAACCUUUGGCCAAUCUCUCUGCCUUUUGCCCCACUUCUCAAUCCUUCAGGCUGGCUGCUUCCUCUACUCGAGCCCCCAGGCCCAAUUCCUCUGCUGUUUCAUUAGAGGAGACUCUGUUCACUUUCUAUUUUCCAAAGACAUGCUGGAAUUCCUUGACCACAGCUAUCCGUCUUCCCACUCUCUUCAUAGCCACAGGAUUAUAUGUUUGACAUCAUUUACUAUCCUAUUUAUAGGUUUAGACUACAGACAAUCCCUGAUCACACAGUUUGAUCUAUGAUUUUUCAACUAUUUAAUGGUCUGGAGGUGCUACACAUUAAGUAGAAACUGUACUCAGUUUCUACUUGCUAGCAAUACACAAUCCUAUCCUCUCUGGUGAGGCUAAAUAGCUCCCAGUCAGCCACAGUCAUGAGCAGAAAUAACUGAUUCUCUAUCGUGCACUGUGUUGCCAAGCUAAGGUAUUGGAAAGGUUAGGCGUAUUACAAGUAUUUUUGGUUUGAUGAUCUUUCCAAUUUAUGAUGUGCAAUUUCCAAUAUUUGUGCAAUGUAACUCUAGGGGAAGGGAAGGAGUUUCUGUGGAGGCAGAGAUGCGGGUGUAAAUGCAUACCAUCCUGAAUCAGAAGCCCUAUCAGAUAAAACAAAUAGUGACUAGCAUUCAGUGAGUCCUUAACAUGUCUAAGAUGACACCCAGAAGCAGAGUUCAUUCCUCUUAACAUCUUCACAGAACUUAGAGUGCCAAGGACUGAACAGGGGUCAACGCUGACCUGAAUGAUUCUCAGGUUUGCCAUUUGAUGAAGCAUCUAUUCAUCUGUUUCUAAAUUGGAUGUUAGUUUUUUCAUUGUUGAGUUUUGAAAGUUCUUCAUACAUUGGAUAUAAAACUUUUAUCAGAUAUGCUUCGCAAAGAUUUUUCUCCCAGUCUGUGGCUUGUCUUUUCACUUUUUUAUUUACUUUUAUUUUUUUUAGGAGUUUCUUUUGAAGAGCAGAAAAAAUGUAAUUUCAAUGCAGACCAAUUGAUCACUUUGUUUUUUUAUGGUCACAUUUUGGGUAUUGCAUCCGUGAAAUUGAUGCCAAAUCAAAGAUCACAAAGCGGGGGUCAGGAUAGGGGCACUUCAGGCCUUAGGCUGCAGCCCCUGUGGGAGGUGUGGAGCUUCUCCCUGUCUGCUUUCUGGGUUGGGAGGGGGUGGUUCUGGACAUGAUCCAGGUCGCAGUGCCCUACAUCCCCAGCCAUUAUAGGAAUCUCUGCAAAGCCCACAGGCCGGUCUCUUCACCUGGGGCUGUGGAAAGCAAACAGGAAAGGAGGAGACUUGAGGGCAUUGAAACCCAAGUCCCGUCCUUGCAAAUAUCCCUAAUAUUCCAUCUGAAUGUUUUCCAGCUCAUCUGAUAUGUCACCAGGUUAACAGAUAUGGAGGUUUCUAUGAGGAUUUGGAGAAGAGUCCAAAUGAUUGGUAAGAUUCUGGACUAGACUAAUGUUAGGAAAGGAAGUGACAUUUAAACAAAUAAACCAAUCAAACUGCAUCAGCUGUGUAAACACAUUGCAGAAGAGUUUUCUAAGCAGAGGGAAUAGCAAGUACAAAGACCGUGAGAUAGAGGAAUAUUGGGCAAUUGACCAACAAAUUGCUCAAAAAAUUUUAGGUUACAAUCAAGAUACAUCAGGCUGGAAAGGGGUUAAAAUUUCAAAAAAGAAAACUGUUUCCAUUAAGGCUUAUAGAAAAUUCCUUGGAAAUCUAUAUGGUGUUGAAUUAAUAAUUCCAGAAUCAACAUUUAAAGUAUUUUAUUUUUCUCUACCAACUUGGAAAUAGGAUUACAUGGGUUACAGCACUGAAAGUAUACUAUAUGGUAUACAGGAUUGAUUCAGACACAUUUAUAUGUCAUACCAUAACACUAAGUUUUGCCAUGGGCUCAAUCCCAUCCCCCCAGACUUUAUUGUCUUAGUAGACAUCAAGGGCUGUGAAGGGAACAUGGACAUUAUCAGUUCUCAAGGUGUAGAUUUCCCAGAACAUCCUCCAUCUUCAAAUUAUGUCUGUCAUUAUAACCAUCUUUGUAGCUACAUAUGUUCACCUCUAAAAGAAAACCCUGCAUAUUCCAGACUAGUGAUUUUUGUCUAAACAGAAAUGAAUGCCCCCAUCAACAAUUGAAAAAAACACGUCUUCUAACUUAGUAAACUUCGUCUUCAAUGCAAAAGAUGGAAUAAAGACACACAGAGCUCCAUUAGAAUGUGGACAACAUGAUGGUCACCUACCAUUCCAAAAGAAGAAAUAAAGCCCUUCUGCUAUUGAUCAGAGAUUUAAGACCAUUACAAACUGCUAGUAAAUAUGGUAUAGCAGGUAUUGCAGUUUACUUCUGAGUCAAUAUGCUUAAAUACUGCUAAACUGUUGUAGACAGUACUCUUGUACAAAUUACUGAAGAUACUUUAUAAAAAUAAAAACUCAUAGUUGUAUAAGAAAACACUAAAUAUAUUUUUUAGUCUCACAUAAUGAUGUUAAAUGACAAGCAUUAUUAAUACACUUUGCUCUUUUGCUUUUGUCCCUGGAAAAUGAUUUGUUUACAAAUUAUUUUAUUAGAAAACAGAUACACUCUGAGAUCAGCAUUGAAGAUUAAAAUACACAAAGGUUUUCCCCUAUAAUUUUUUCUUUAAGUUUUAUGUUUGCAUGUAUGAAACCAUUUUGAGUUCUUUUUGUGUGUGUGUGUGUGAAUGGUGCACAUAUGAACUGAGAUUCAUCAGUCAUUAAGAAGAUGUAAAUUAGCCAGGUGCAGUGACAAACACCUAUAAUUCCAGUGACUUGGGAGGCCGAGGCAAGAGGACUGCAAGUUGGAAGCCAGUCUGGACAAUUUCCUGAAAUCCUGUCUCAAAAAUAAAAUAAAAUAAAAUAAAAUAAAAUAAAAUAAAAUAAAAUAAAACAAAACAGGCUGGGGAUAUGUCUCAGUAGUAGAGCAUCCCUGGGUUCAAUCACCAGUACUGAGGGGGGCCGGGAAAGGAAAUGUAAAUUACAACCACAAUAAAAUAACACUGAAUACCUCUUAUGGCUUAAAUGAAAUGAAAUGCACAUACCAAGUAGUUGAUGUGGUCCUUGCUGACUUUCAUGUGUCAAGGUUCUUAAAAAGUGCAACAUAUAACUGCCAUAUGAUAUAGCCAUUUUACUCCUAGGCUUUAUUUAUGAGAAAUGAAAGCAUAUGUCUAUACAGAGAAUUGUUUGUACACAUAUGUUCAUAGCAGCUUUACUGUCAUAUCCAAAAUCUGGAAACAGUCCAAAGGAAUGUCAACAUGUGAAGGGGUAAACAAACAUGGUAUAGCCAUACAAAGAUAUACUGCUCAGCAAUAAAAAGUAAUGCAAUUGAUACAUACAACAUAGAUGAAUCUCAAAAUAAUUAGAAUGAAUGAAAGACAAAAAACAAUAGUACUGUAUGAUCCCAUUUAUGUAAAACCCUAGAAAAUGCAAACUAAUCUGCAAAUUAGAAUGCAGAUCAAUGGGACAGAGGACAGAUGGACUGAUUAUGCAAGGGAUUGAGGGGUUACUGGAUGUGUUCAUUAUCUUGAUUGUGAUGGCGGUUUCAUGGUUAUGCAUGUGUCAAACCUUCAAUUUGUACUUUUUAAAUGUGUGGUUAUUGCAUGUUUUACACUUUAAUAAAG
rnacentral:lncRNA from 1 species